UUUUUUUUAAUUUAUUUUUUAUUGUUCAAUUUACCAACAUACAGAAUAACCCCCAGUGCCCCUCACCCAUUCACUCCCACCCCCCGCCCUCCUCCCCUUCUACCACCCCUAGUACGUUUCCCAGAGUUAGCAGUCUUUACGUUCUGUCUCCCUUUCUGAUAUUUCCCACACAUUUCUUCUCCCUUCCCUUAUAUUCCCUUUCACUAUUAUUUAUAUUCCCCAAAUGAAUGAGAACAUACACUGUUUGUCCUUCUCCGACUGACUUACUUCACUCAGCAUAAUACCCUCCAGUUCCAUCCACGUUGAAGCAAAUGGUGGGUAUUUGUCAUUUCUAAUGGCUGAGGAAUAUUCCAUUGUAUACAUAAACCACAUCUUCUUUAUCCAUUCAUCUUUCGUUGGACACCGAGGCUCCUUCCACAGUUUGGCUAAUGUGGCCAUUGCUGCUAUAAACAUCGGGGUGCAGGUGUCCCGGCGUUUCAUUGCAUCUGUAUCUUUGGGGUAAAUCCCCAACAGUGCAAUUGCUGGGUUGUAGGGCAGGUAUAUUUUUAACUGUUUGAGGAACCUCCACACAGUUUUCCAGAGUGGCUGCACCAGUUCACAUUCCCACCAACAGUGUAAGAGGGUUCCCUUUUCUCCGCAUCCUCUCCAACAUUUGUGGUUUCCUGCCUUGCUAAUUUUCCCCAUUCUCACUGCUGUGAGGUGGGAUCUCAUUGUGGUUUUGAUUUGUAUUUUCCUGAUGGCCAGUGAUGCAGAGCAUUUUCUCAUGUGCAUGUUGGCCAUGUCUAUGUCUUCCUCUGUGAGAUUUCUCUUCAUGUCUUUUCCCAUUUCAUGAUUGGAUUGUUUGUUUCUUUGGUGUUGAGUUUAAUAAGUUCUUUAUAGAUCUUGGAAACUAGCCCUUGAUCUGAUACGUCAUUUGCAAAUAUCUUCUCCCAUUCUGUAGGUUGUCUUUUAGCUUUGUUGACUGUAUCCUUUGCUGUGCAAAAGCUUCUUAUCUUGAUGAAGUCCCAAUAGUUCAUUUUUGCUUUUGUUUCUUUUGCCUUCGUGGAUGUAUCUUGCAAGAAGUUACUCUGGCUGAGUUCAAAAAGGGUGUUGCCUGUGUUCUCCUCUAGGAUUUUCAUGGAAUCUUGUCUCACAUUUAGAUCUUUCAUCCAUUUUGAGUUUAUCUUUGUGUAUGGAGAAAGAGAGUGGUCUAGUUUUAUUCUUCUGCAUGUGGAUGUCCAAUUUUCCCAGCACCAUUUAUUGAAGAGACUGUCUUUCUUCCAAUGGAUAGUCUUUCCUCCUUUAUCAAAUAUUAGUUGACCAUAAAGUUCAGGGUCCACGUCUGGGUUCUCUAUUCUGUUCCAUUGAUCUAUGUGUCUGUUUUUGUGCCAGUACCACACUGUCUUGAUGACCACAGCUUUGUAGUACAACCUGAAAUCUGGCAUUGUGAUGCCCCCAGAUAUGGUUUUCUAUUUAAAAUUCCCCUGGCUAUUUGGGGUCUUUUCUGAUUCCACACAAAUCUUAAAAUAAUUUGUUCUAACUCUCUGAAGAAAGUCCAUGGUAUUUUGAUAGGGAUUGCAUUAAACGUGUAAAUUGCCCUGGGUAACAUUGAUAUUUUCACAAUAUUAAUUCUGCCAAUCCAUGAGCAUGGAAUAUUUUUCCAUCUCUUUGUGUCUUCCUCAAUUUCUUUCAGAAGUGUUCUAUAGUUUUGAGGGUAUAGAUCCUUUACCUCUUUGGUUAGGUUUAUUCCUAGGUAUCUUAUGCUUUUGGGUGCAAUUGUAAAUGGGAUUGACUCCUUAAUUUCUCUUUCUUCAGUCUCAUUGUUAGUGUAUACAAAUGCCACUGAUUUCUGGGCAUUGAUUUUGUAUCCUGCCACGCUACCAAAUUGCUGUAUGAGUUCUAGCAAUCUUGGGGUGGAGGCUUUUGGGUUUUCUAUGUAGAGUAUCAUGUCAUCGGUGAAGAGGGAGAGUUUGACUUCUUCUUUGCCAAUUUGAAUGCCUUUAAUAUCUUUUUGUUGUCUGAUUGCUGAGGCUAGGACUUCCAGUACUAUGUUGAAUAGCAGUGGUGAGAGUGGACAUCCCUGUCUUGUUCCUGAUCUUAGGGGAAAGGCUCCCAGUGCUUCCCCAUUGAGAAUGGUAUUUGCUGUGGGCUUUUCAUAGAUGGCUUUUAAGAUGUUGAGGAAUGUUCCCUCUAUCCC
rnacentral:lncRNA from 1 species